CAAUAGGGGUGUGACGAGAUCUCGUGACGAAAAUGUGACGAUACAAAACAGUAGAUGAGCUCCGCGGUACAGUUAAAAAGCUUUGCGCGACAGUAGGUGAGCUCCGCGGUACAGUUAUAAAAAGCUCCGUGCGACAGUAGAUGAGCUCCGCGGUACAGUUAAAAAGCUUUGCGCGAUAGUAGGUGAGCUCCGCGGUACAGUUAUAAAAAGCUCCGCGCGAUAGUAGGUGAGCUCCGCGGUACAGUUAAAAAGCUCUGCGCGACAGUAGGUGAGCUCCGCGGUACAGUUAAAAAGCUCCGCGCGACAGUAGGUGAGCUCCGCGGUACAGUUAAAAAGCUCUGCGCGACAGUAGGUGAGCUCCGCGGUACAGUUAAAAAGCUCUGCGCGACAGUAGGUGAGCUCCGCGGUACAGUUAAAAAGCUCCGCGCGACAGUAGGUGAGCUCCGCGGUACAGUUAAAAAGCUCUGCGCGACAGUAGGUGAGCUCCGCGGUACAGUUAAAAAGCUCUGCGCGACAGUAGGUGAGCUCCGCGGUACAGUUAAAAAGCUCCGCGCGACAGUAGGU